ACUGCGUAGCAAGAUCAAUAAUAAAUGGUUCAAGUCAUGUGUUACAAGUUACAAUGAGCAGGUGGUACUCAAGUCCGUUGAUGAUAAGGAUAUUAUUCGAACAUUUACUGCAAUGAGGUUUUGGAAAGGGCAUUUGCCUCGUGAUUGUCUUUAGUGCGCUGUCGGUAUUCGGCAUGCCAGCGCCUUCAUCGACCUCCACUCGCCAAUCUGUAACGCCUAUGCCCGUGGUGGCGGGUCACACUCUGAUGCAACCGUGCACGCCGCCGCUACCAGACGACACCCCAUUGAGUAAUACACCCCAGUCGAGAUUUUCUAUAUCAUCUCUGCCAAGGCGCAGUCAUCGGAAGAGAUUCAGGUAAGAUUAUCCUUGUUUUCUACAUCAAAUUUUGCAUGUUCAUCUAUCUAAUCUUUGAUACUACAUUUCUUAGCUAAUGUCCUCCUUGCCUGUACCAUGUUCAUAUGAUUAACAAAGGCUUGGCCAUCUUAAUAUAGUAGCCCGUGAGGUGGAUAUAUAUACUACUCCCUCCAUUCCUAAAUAUAAGUCUUUUUACAGAUUCCAAUAUGGACUACUGAAUGAAUCUACACUCUAAAGAAUGUCUAUAUGCAUCCGUAUGUAGUCCAUAUUGAAAUUUCUAAAUGGACUUAUAUUUAGAAACAGAGGGAGUACUUCAGUUUGCAUGAGAGAAUAAUCACUUAUAUGUGUGCCUUGAUAUUAUAAUAGGAUUGCUUGGAUUAUUUCUGUAAUACUUUGUCCAAAAAUGUUGUUCUAAUCCCUAGCUCACUUGAACCUGGGUGAACAGUAAAAUAAUUAAAAAAUCUGAUUUUUUUUUAGUGUGAAACAUUGACAAAUGUUUUCAUAGCGAAUAGAAAUUUUUCACCAGAUGACAUUCGUGGAAAAUAUGUCCAAAAAAUAGUUGCAAAUUUAUCACCAGAUAACAUUGUGGAAAAUAGUUGCGUCCGUACAGUGUGUUCUUCGUCGAAUUUGUGUUUGAUUUUUUAACUAUAUAUUACUUCUUGCUUGCGCGAGGGUGGUGUAGAUUUGUUAUUUUUUGCCCCGAAAAGAAGGUAGCCGGAUUGGUAGUCUAAUUGAGUAGAUGCUGGUGAGGGAGGGUUACUUGAUUUUUAUUGAGUACAUUAUGCUCUGCUUUGUGACGAGGUUUGAAAUUUGAUGGUUCUGAUGUGUAAUAGAGGGGGCAAAAGUGUUAUCCAUUUCAUUGUUUCUGUGCAUGUUUACGUUGACCAUCGGUGGCGGGAGGCGACAUUGCUGGCGGCCGAAGGGGUGCUUGUGGAAGCAGGUGGAAUAGUCGGCAGCUGUGGGGAUUCAUUAUUCUCCGAGGUUGGCGGGGUCGACCCAGGCUCGAUGGGGCUGCGGGAUUGUCAAGCAGGCGGGUGAUUGCUCAACGAUGACUCGAGACGAUCUUUGGUAUUACAACUGGUUUAUACCAAUGGGUUAUUUGCAUCUCAAGUUAAAUUAGUCACUGUUGAUCAACAAUGAGAUGUGGCCAUUGUUUGAUGGAUCAUUGAUGAUACGGAUGUGCAAUGAAACAAUGAUAUACCCACUGUAUUGGACCCGAACACCUUCCUGAAAAUUGUUCUGAACGGGUUAGCACAAGGAAACUAUUGUUAUGACUUGCGAGGUCUGCUGGAGGUGACCGGAUCCGGAUGACUUGAGCAAAGCUGUGAAAAUUCACGUAUACCGUUUACCAAACUCAAUUUGUUUGGUCUAGAUGCAUGACUUUUAGAAUAAAUUUA